rnacentral:rRNA from 1 species
GUCUGCGGCCAUGCUACCCUGAACAAUCCCGAUUUUGUCUGAUCUCGGAAGCUAAGCAGGGUCGGGCCUGGUUAGUGCUUGGAUGGCAGACUACCUAGGAAGACCAGGUGCUGUCAGCA